UUAUUUGUUUAUUUUUAUGUGGUGCCAGGGAUCGAACCCAGUGCCUCACGAAUGGUAGGCAAGCAGUCUACCACUGAGCCACAGCCCCAUCCCCUAAACUAUAUUCCUUAGCAACCUUAACAUGGCAACUCUUGGUCCUGGGCAUUUCCAUAUGUAUUUCAAGAACCAAUUGGUUGAUUUACCCAAAUAAAACUGAAUUUCCCUGGAUUUUCCUUGAGUCUAUAAAUAUAGGGUGAAUUAACAAAUACCAGACAUAUAAAAAACUGCUAUAACUCAACAAUUAAAAAAUAAAUAAAUAAAUAAUGGGCAAAAGAUUCAAAUAGCCAUUUUUCCAGAUAGAAAAAUGACUGAUAAGCCUAUGAAAAGAUGAUCAAUUAUAUUAGUCAGUAGGCAAAUAUGAUAUUACUUCAUAUCUACUAGAAUGGCUAGAAUCAAAAAGACAAAUAAUAACAAGUAUGUUGAAGAUAUGAAGAAAUUAGAACCCUCAUACAUUGCUGGUAGAAUUUAAAAUGGUAUAACCACUAUAGAAAACAGUUUGGCUGUCUUCAAAAAGCUAAGCAUGGAGUUACCACAUGAGUUAACAAUUCUACUCCUAGGUAUGCAAGAGAAUUGAAAACUUGUGUUCAC
rnacentral:lncRNA from 1 species